rnacentral:rRNA from 1 species
CGACUUUGAUCCUGGCUCAGAACGAACGCUGGCGGCGUGCUUAAGACAUGCAAGUCGAACGGUAAGGCACCUUCGGGUGUACACGAGUGGCGCACGGGUGAGUAACGCGUGGGUAAUCUGCCUUCGGGUCUGGGACAACUCCGGGAAACUGGAGCUAAUACCGGAUGAGACCACGAAGUCUUCGGGCUUUGCGGAAAAAGAUGGCCUCUUCUUGAAAGCUAUCGCCUGUCGAUGAGCCCGCGUCCCAUUAGCUUGUUGGUGAGGUAAAAGCUCACCAAGGCAUCGAUGGGUAGCUGGUCUGAGAGGAUGAUCAGCCACACUGGAACUGAGACACGGUCCAGACUCCUACGGGAGGCAGCAGUCGGGAAUCUUGGGCAAUGGGGGAAACCCUGACCCANCAACGCCGCGUGAGGGAUGAAAGCCCUCGGGUCGUAAACCUCUGUCGGGAGGGAAGAAAGUGCCGUAGACGAAUAGUCUGCGGUAUUGACGGUACCUCCAAAGGAANGUCNGCUAACUCCGUGCCAGCAACCCGCGGUAAUACCGANGGACC